UACGUAGGGUGCGAGCGUUGUCCGGAAUUACUGGGCGUAAAGCGUGCGCAGGCGGCUAUGCAAGACAGAUGUGAAAUCCCCGGGCUCAACCUGGGAACUGCAUUUGUGGCUGCAUAGCGUAGAGUACGGUAGAGGGGGAUGGAAUUCCGCGUGUAGCAGUGAAAUGCGUAGAUAUGCGGAGGAACACCGAUGGCGAAGGCAAUCCCCUGGACCUGUACUGACGCUCAUGCGACGAAAGCG
rnacentral:rRNA from 1 species